ensembl:lncRNA
AAAGACUUGUUUAUUAUACGGUCGUAUUUCUGAUGGAGGGGGUAGGCCGCAGCCGCGGGGGGAAGAGGCAGGGGAACUUGAGGGGGCAAGAGGCAAGGAAAACGGUUGCACCCAGCGUCUGAGAACCUGCGAGCUACAGGCACAAUUGGGUGCCCGGCUGGAUACUCGUGGGACGGCGGUGCGGGAGCAGACGUUAAUCCAGCCGGCUCUCGCACACGUACCCCACGCUAACCUUGCCUUACGAAAGGACUGGGGGUGGGGUGCAAAGACUGGGCUGCUCCGGGCACCGUUCUCCCUCUUCCCGGCCGCCCCACCUGCCCGCCCGCCUAUUACUCUCCAGCCCCAGGGGAUGGACUAAUGCGGGGGCCAGGGUCCGUGCCCGGAAUGUGAGCCUGGUCCCCAAACAGUGUCCGCUCCUUCCAGCUGCCUACAAGAAGAGGGUUUGGGAAAUGUGGUUAAAGCAGUAUUGAUGGGCCCGGGUUCCUAGCGCUUGGUUCUUGAGCUGGGAACUGACUCUCAUCAUAGAGACACACAGACCCACCCGCGUGCCCGAUGGACCGACUGCGGUGCGGCUGUCUCUCCAGUCCGCAGCGGCGAGAGAACCCAAGGCGUCUGCUGGGUCCUAGCGCCCGUCCUCACCAAAACGCUUUGUGUAAAAGACCCGGAGAGUUGCAUCAGGAUCAAGGACCUAGAUCUCCAGAAAAAGCCCCGGAGAGCAAUCGCCAUUCCCUGUUUCGUCAUUCAGGCGGUGCCACAGAAAAUGUGACCCGACGGCGGUAAUAUAGAAAACUAACAGAGAUUGCUGACGGUGAGAAGAGGUUCUGACAGAUUCGACCUUUAUUUACUUAAGAGAUUUAUCAAUCUGGGACACAGAAUCCUGAUGGAAGAGAAAACCAAACUUACAUCAGACGCUCCCGUGCCGGGGCGGGCCAGAGCCUAACCAGAUCAGACUGGCGGGCCUCGCUUCCGGGCAGACUUGUGCGACCAAAGACACUCGCCACUGGAGUAGUCAGGCCGCUGCCAUCCACACACCCCGCUCCCAUUAAAAAAAAAAAAAAAAAGACUGACCCGUGGGUCUUCCGGGUAAACCAAGACUUAAAACUGUAAACGAUCAGAAUUCAAACCCUGCACCCCAUCAGCUUCCAGCAGAUGAGAGAACCAUCUCUGGAGACAAAUUCAUGGAUAAAAAAGAAAUCAGAUGACUCAGAUUAGGAGAUACCUUAAAGACUGCUGCAAAAUAGAAUAGUCUUUUGGCUGCCAGAGCUUUCGAGGCCUCCACACUGGCCCUUUCUUCCUAUUCUUCCAGCUCCAGUAACUUGCUGGGAGCCUUAAAGACAACAGUUGGGUGAAGUGCUUGGAAGACUGAGGGGAGAUGACAUCCUCUUGAAAUUACCCUUUACUGAGGUGAAAAGAAAAGAGUUGGGGUGACCUAUAUGGGUGUGUCUUUCUGUCACUCAGAGUAAAGAUCAGGGAAUUAGUUUAUCAAGACCGUUCUCUCCUCCCAGGCUGACUGGACUGGGGAGACAGCAAGAGACAGAGUGGUUUUCUUCUCUCUCCCCCAUUCCCUGCAUGAAAAAACAUUCUGAAAAAUGUGGAACACUAAUCUAUGAAAAAUAGAGGUUUUGUAAGCAAAAGAAUCCAGAGUUAUUCUAGAAAGGUCAGUUUACUAGGAAUCAUUCAUUCAUUCAAUAAAUAGCCAUCAUGGAAGUAGUGUGUUGUGGAGCCAUAUACUGUGUGCCAAGCACCUUUUUUCAUUCACUGUCUCAUUCUGUUAAUAAAACAGCUUAAAACACACACACACACACACACACACAGCUUUUUAUAAUUGGAAAGGGUUAUGUUAAAUGAGCACUGGAUAAUUUUGUUUCUUAAAAAAAAAAAACUCCAUUAAUGUUGUCUCAUUGUUUUCAAAAAGUGAUGAAAAAAGGACAGGCAGUCUUAACCUUAAAGGUUUUUCCCUUGUAGGAGAGAGUAGGCUAUAGGGUAAAAGACCACCCAGGAGGAGGCCUAGCUGCAGGGGGAUGAGGGUGGAGGGCAAAAUGGCUUCUCCACUGACAUUCUUCACCCAUACUGUUGUCUGUUAGGAGAACCUUUGGAUCUAAAGGGGAGUUUCUUAACAACCCCUCUGAGGGGCCUGGUUGAAGGGUCUUGGUUCAUGCUGUGAGGUGAAGGGCAGGAUCCCUUCCCCAAGGCAGUGGCUGGAAAGACAUUGUUACCAUCUCACAUACUGAAACAGAUGGGAUGAAGGGGGACCCCAAAAGGUGGUACUUGCAGGAAGGAGACAGCUACAUCUCCUAGCUUCUGAGCCAGGCCUCUUCAGAGCCUUUAAAGAUCCUAUGAACCCCGCAUUUGGUGUGCUUCUCUCCCUCUCAGGCCUAGGCUGGCUGCUGGUCAGGCUUGCCUGGACAUGUUUCCACCAGCAGAUUUUGAGACCAGCUCUGGCAUCCCAUCCUCCAGGA